CGUGCAUGCAGUAUCCAGAACUGAGCAGUUAUAGAGUUGAAUGUCAGAGGUCAUUAAAAGGGCCAUCGUCUUAACAAUUGUUGAAUCUGUGUAAAACAUAUUUGCCAAUUAAACCAAGAUUUUCACAUAAAAAAGACCCUCAUCCAACAGGGGACACAGCACACACUAUUUUCGUACUCUCUGAGCCAUAAGUAGAGCGAAUACCCAC